UACGGGGGGGGCAAGCGUUGUUCGGAAUUACUGGGCGUAAAGGGCUCGUAGGUGGCCAACUAAGUCAGACGUGAAAUCCCUCGGCUUAACCGGGGAACUGCAUCUGAUACUGGAUGGCUUGAGUUUGGGAGAGGGAUGCGGAAUUCCAGGUGUAGCGGUGAAAUGCGUAGAUAUCUGGAGGAACACCGGUGGCGAAGGCGGCAUCCUGGACCAACACUGACGCUGAGGAGCGAAAGCCAGGGGAGCAAACGGGG
rnacentral:rRNA from 1 species